UAUUAAGUUGAUGCAAAAGUAAUUGCAGUUUUUGCCAUUGAAAGUAAUGGCAAAAACCGCCAUUACUUUUGCAUCAACCUAAUA
rnacentral:pre_miRNA from 1 species